GACGAACGCUGGCGGCGUGCUUAACACAUGCAAGUCGUACGGUAAGGCCCUUUCGGGGGUACACGAGUGGCGAACGGGUGAGUAACACGUGAGUAACCUGCCCACAACUUUGGGAUAACGCUAGGAAACUGGGGCUAAUACUGGAUAUGUGCUCCUGCUGCAUGGUGGGGGUUGGAAAGCUCCGGCGGUUGUGGAUGGACUCGCGGCCUAUCAGCUUGUUGGUGGGGUAGUGGCCUACCAAGGCGGCGACGGGUAGCCGGCCUGAGAGGGUGACCGGCCACAUUGGGACUGAGAGACGGCCCAGACUCCUACGGGAGGCAGCAGUGGGGAAUAUUGCACAAUGGGCGCAAGCCUGAUGCAGCAACGCCGCGGGCGGGAUGACGGCCUUCGGGUUGUAAACCGCUUUCAGCAGGGACGAAGCUUUUUGUGACGGUACCUGCAGAAGAAGCACCGGCUAACUACGUG
rnacentral:rRNA from 1 species